UUUUCCUUUCCCGGUCCAGGACAUGUUGGUUCUUCGCUUUUGUUUCUCUCUCCUACUGCUAUUGGUACAAACUGAUUAGCCUAGUGGCAGUGGAGAGGGUAUAGCCCACCUGGGCAGAGCCAACAUUUUUGAUAUCUAGUGUCGCCUCCUAGUGGUAGCUGGGCAUAUACCCAUGGUGCUGUCCCCCAAUGAAUUGAACGAGAAAGGGAUUUUAUGGUAAGUACAAAAAUCCAAUUUUUGGCUUCCAUUUCGGCUGGUAUACCUUUUUAUUAUAACAUCUCUGUACCAUGAAUGUACGGCAUCUGUGUUAGGGCUCAUGCACACGACCCUGAUCAGCCCGAAAAAUGCGUCCCUGUUGGUCACAUCUCCCGGCUCCACUGACCCAAACUGACUGCAUAAUAAAUUAUGACACUGAGGGGCUAUUGUACUGUACACACAUCAUGUGAGUACACAUAUGAACCCACUGUAUCAUAAUGUACUAUGAUAGUCAGUUCGGGUCAGGGGACCAUGUUUAUCUGGGCCGAUUGAGCAUGUGGGACUAUUCUUAUUGUCAAACGUUGACAGGCCGAACCUAUUAUAAUUCAGUGGGUCUGUCAGUCACAGUUUGAAUCCGUCAUAUGAUGGAAUUAUUACAAUAAAGGUAUUUUUUAUUUUUUGCCAAAAGAC